rnacentral:rRNA from 1 species
GACGAACGCUGGCGGCGUGCUUAACACAUGCAAGUCGAACGGAAAGGCCCUGCUUUUGUGGGGUGCUCGAGUGGCGAACGGGUGAGUAACACGUGAGUAACCUGCCCUUGACUUUGGGAUAACUUCAGGAAACUGGGGCUAGUACCGGAUAGGAGCUCCUGCUGCAUGGUGGGGGUUGGAAAGUUUCGGCGGUUGGGGAUGGACUCGCGGCUUAUCAGCUUGUUGGUGGGGUAGUGGCUUACCAAGGCUUUGACGGGUAGCCGGCCUGAGAGGGUGACCGGCCACAUUGGGACUGAGAUACGGCCCAGACUCCUACGGGAGGCAGCAGUGGGGAAUAUUGCACAAUGGGCGGAAGCCUGAUGCAGCAACGCCGCGUGCGGGAUGACGGCCUUCGGGUUGUAAACCGCUUUCGCCUGUGACGAAGCGUGAGUGACGGUAAUGGGUAAAGAAGCACCGGCUAACUACGUGCCAGCAGCCGCGGUGAUACGUAGGGUGCGAGCGUUGUCCGGAUUUAUUGGGCGUAAAGGGCUCGUAGGUGGUUGAUCGCGUCGGAAGUGUAAUCUUGGGGCUUAACCCUGAGCGUGCUUUCGAUACGGGUUGACUUGAGGAAGGUAGGGGAGAAUGGAAUUCCUGGUGGAGCGGUGGAAUGCGCAGAUAUCAGGAGGAACACCAGUGGCGAAGGCGAUUUCUCUGGGCCUUUCCUGACGCUGAGGAGCGAAAGCGUGGGGAGCGAACAGGCUUAGAUACCCUGGUAGUCCACGCUGUAAACGGUGGGUACUAGGUGUGGGGUCCAUUCCACGGGUUCCGUGCCGUAGCUAACGCUUUAAGUACCCCGCCUGGGGAGUACGGCCGCAAGGCUAAAACUCAAAGGAAUUGACGGGGCCCCGCACAAGCGGCGGAGCAUGCGGAUUAAUUCGAUGCAACGCGUAGAACCUUACCUGGGUUUGACAUGGAUCGGGAGUGCUCAGAGAUGGGUGUGCCUCUUUUGGGGUCGGUUCACAGGUGGUGCAUGGCUGUCGUCAGCUCGUGUCGUGAGAUGUUGGGUUAAGUCCCGCAACGAGCGCAACCCUUGUUCACUGUUGCCAGCACGUUAUGGUGGGGACUCAGUGGAGACCGCCGGGGUCAACUCGGAGGAAGGUGGGGAUGACGUCAAGUCAUCAUGCCCCUUAUGUCCAGGGCUUCACGCAUGCUACAAUGGCUGGUACAGAGAGUGGCGAGCCUGUGAGGGUGAGCGAAUCUCGGAAAGCCGGUCUCAGUUCGGAUUGGGGUCUGCAACUCGACCUCAUGAAGUCGGAGUCGCUAGUAAUCGCAGAUCAGCAACGCUGCGGUGAAUACGUUCCCGGGGCUUGUACACACCGCCCGUCAAGUCAUGAAAGUUGGUAACACCCGAAGCCGGUGGCCUAACCGUUGUGGGGGAGCCGUCGAAGGUGGGACUGGUGAUU